CACAGAGUUAGCCGGUGCUUCUUUCUUGGGUUAGAUCAAGACCCUGGUGUGUUAAACCAAGGCUUUUUAUCCCCACCGAAAGGGCUUUACAACCCGCAGGCCUUCUUCACCCACGCGGCGUCGCUGGAUCAGGGUUGCCCCCAUUGUCCAAUAUUCCCCA
rnacentral:rRNA from 1 species